rnacentral:rRNA from 1 species
CACGUGAGUGAUCUGCCCUCUACUCUGGGAUAACUGCCUGAAAGGGUGGCUAAUACUGGAUGCGACCAGCUGCUGCAUGGUGGUUGGUGGAAAGGUUUGUUCCGGUGGGGGAUGUGCUCGCGGCCUAUCAGCUUGUUGGUGGGGUAAUGGCCUACCAAGGCUUUGACGGGUAGCCGGCCUGAGAGGGUGACCGGCCACACUGGGACUGAGACACGGCCCAGACUCCUACGGGAGGCAGCAGUGGGGAAUAUUGCACAAUGGGGGAAACCCUGAUGCAGCCAUGCCGCGUGUGUGAAGAAG